GAUGAACGCUGGCGGCGUGCCUAACACACGCAAGUCGAACGAAGCACCUUACCUGAUUCUUCGGAUGAAAGUUUGGUGACUGAGUGGCGGACGGGUGAGUAACGCGUGGGUAACCUGCCCUGUACAGGGGGAUAACAGCUGGAAACGGCUGCUAAUACCGCAUAAGCGCACGAGGAGACAUCUCCUUGUGUGAAAAACUCCGGUGGUACAGGAUGGGCCCGCGUCUGAUUAGCUGGUUGGCAGGGUAACGGCCUACCAAGGCAACGAUCAGUAGCCGGUCUGAGAGGAUGAACGGCCACAUUGGAACUGAGACACGGUCCAAACUCCUACGGGAGGCUGCAGUGGGGAAUAUUGCACAAUGGGGGAAACCCUGAUGCAGCAACGCCGCGUGAGUGAAGAAGUAUUUCGGUAUGUAAAGCUCUAUCAGCAGGGAAGAUAAUGACGGUACCUGACUAAGAAGCUCCGGCUAAAUACGUG
rnacentral:rRNA from 1 species